rnacentral:rRNA from 1 species
UACGAAGGGGGCUAGCGUUGCUCGGAUUGACUGGGCGUAAAGGGCGCGUAGGCGGUUCGUAGAGUCAGACGUGAAAUUCCUGGGCUCAACCUGGGGGCUGCGUUUGAUACGUGCGGGCUUGAGUGCGGAAGAGGGUAGUGGAAUUCCCAGUGUAGAGGUGAAAUUCGUAGAUAUUGGGAAGAACACCGGUGGCGAAGGCGGCGACCUGGUCCGAUACUGACGCUGAGGCGCGAAAGCGUGGGGAGCAAACAGG